GUUUUUAGGCUUAAUUAAAGUGUCUGAGUUGCAGUCAGGUGAUGCAAGUUAGAGUUUUGCAGGCCUUC
rnacentral:tRNA from 1 species